GUUGGGGAUCCUGGGGCCCAGAGAUGUUAAGUGACUUCCUGAGGGUCACACAGCUGCAAGUAGCAAAGCAAAGACUGUGCCAACAAUUCUAUCCUCAAAUUGAGGAAGAAGAGAAGGAGAGAUAAUCACAAGCAGACUCUGCGCUGAACACAGAGCCUGACACUGGGCCUAAUCUCAGAACCUUGAGAUCACAACCUGAGCCAAAAUCAACAGUCA
rnacentral:lncRNA from 1 species